rnacentral:rRNA from 1 species
CCCUUAGAUGUCCUGGGCCGCACGCGCGCUACACUGAUGCAUGCAACGAGUUUAUAACCUUGGCCUGAAAGGUCUGGGUAAUCUUUUGAACGAGCGUCGUGAUAGGGAUAGAUUAUUGCAAUUGUUAAUCUUGAACGAGGAAUUCCUAGUAAACGCGAGUCAUCAGCUCGCGUCGAUUACGUCCCUGCCCUUUGUACACACCGCCCGUCGCUACUACCGAUCGGAUGGUUUAGUGAGACCCUCGGACUGGUCCCGUCGAAGCAGGCGACUGCCUCGACGCGCGCGCCGGGAAGAAGGUCGAACUUGACUAUCUAGAGGAAGUAAAAGUCGUAACA